CCUGGACCGUGGAGAGGGCGGACGAGCUGCCAGGGUUAUCCUGGGGGUCCCUAGUGUCGGAGCUGCCACUGCGAGUCUUUCAGGAAAAGCAUCCAGACCUUGCUAAUGAUACUUACAGUUUGGAACCAGUUUUUCAAGAGUGGACAUGAGAAGUCAGAUCAUCUGGUCAAUGACAUCAUAAGCUCAAACCUCUGAGCACAGAAUAUAACUUCUCAUGGGGAAAAAAAGUAACUGUGCAGAGGAAGUGACUCUGGAUGCUGACCUUCAGUGGCUACCUGGACUGAUGUUACUCUGAACCUGCUGCUGUGCUGCUGGCCCUUGGCUCCAACUUCUUUUUUGUAAAAAGAAACUGCUACAAGACACUGCCGCAAGAACAAAAUGUCUUUGGGGCCUUGCUAAGUUGCCCAGGAUGUCCUGGAACCUGCAAUCCUCCUGCCUAAGUCUCCUAAGUUGCUGGGACUGCAGGUCUGUGCCACUAUGCUGGGCUAAUCAGACUUUUGUAGUUAUUGCCUGUCAAAAUCCUGUAGAAGUAUAAUUUCUAAUAAAUUUGUACUGGCCCAGUGCUUUGAAAUGAAGUGCAUUAUCUACAGAAUAGACAGUUCAUAAUGAAUUCCAGAUCUACCUGGAAGAGAAGAAAUGGGGUGGCUCAAGCCUCACGACUUCCGGUUCCUGGCCGUUCCAGACAUACAUGCUUGCUAUCGACAAGUCUGAACUGUAAUUGAUGGAGUGCUUUCUCCUCAGAAAACAGCACAGCAACUUCAUACUUCAAACCCAGGCUCAGUACAAAAUUUGUUACCAAUGAUGAAUUUCUUAGCAGUUGUCUGUAUACUAUCAAGAAAUGGGAUGGAUUUCCUCAAGGAUCAACAGGAGAAUAAAGGCUGUGAGAGAAACAUCUCCAUCAAAUAUAAUAAACUCUAUAAGACCAAAAAAUAGCUAAAUAUUAGUUAGUCCACAUCUCCCUCAUUAAAAUUUCCACUCAACAUGUAAAGGGCUAUAUUUAUAGAUUUGGGUAAUCUAUUUCCUUUAGUAUAGUUUUUAUUAAUUAAAAUCUAUCCAAGCUGAGAUUAUCUGAAACCAAAGUCUUAGUUACAAUUUUACUUUCAAUUGUGGUAUUUUCCCAUUUCAAUGGUGAUUCUAACUGUUAAUGUUCAUAAAUCCACAGGAAACAUCAGGCAAGAACAUAAGCAAAACAUGACUUGAAUCUACAAAUUAUACAUUGAAUUUGCCCCUUUCUAAAAUUAAGACCAAGAAAUACAAAUGUAAAAAAUACAUCAGAUUUAAAAUAAUGAUAUGUGUGUGUGUGUGUGUGUGUCUGUGUGUGUGUGUGUAUGUGAGUUGCUAGGGUCUCAUGCACACAAGGCAAGCUAUAUCCCCACCCCUAACUGCAGUUCAGAAGCCUUUGGAGUUCUGUAUCACAGGGAGCCACAUCAAAUAACAGGCUAUAAGUACUUUGAGAAAGAAAAGCACAUAAAACAAUUCCCAUUCAAGAGAUGGACAUGGACAGAUAGAAUAUGACAUCCACAAGAGACACACCGAAUGGAAAAAGCAGUACACAGAAUAUAAACACAAAAUUCACAUAAAAAUAAGUUUUCAUAGUAUCUUAUGUAGCCUCUUAUAAAACUGUUGCCAAAUACUUUUAAAAUUAGGCCAUAUUUUCCCAACCAUAAGCAAAAAUGAAGAGUUAGUUCUAGAUACUUGCCUUGUGAAUUGGAUGACAUUAAGCUGAGAACCAGAUGUUUUCCAUCUAUGUUUUAGAUUAUGUUAAAUACAAAAUCAUUAGAAAACACCUAGAUGAUGGAGUAGUUUAACAUAUUUAAAGAAUCAGAUGACAUGAAGAUUACCUACCAUCUUAGACUUUAGAAAAUUUUAAUGUAUUUUUUAUGUCAAAAUUUUAAGUAGUAAAAAAGUUUUACUGUGAAAUAAAUUUUUUAUUUUAUAA